rnacentral:rRNA from 1 species
GUCCUAGCUGUAAACGGUGCGUAUUUGCUGUAAAGGAAUCGACCCCUUUGUGGCGCAGCUAACGCGAUAAAUACGCCGCCUGGGAAGUACGGUCGCAAGAUUAAACUCAAAGAAAUUGACGGGGCCUGCACAAGCGGUGGAGUAUGUGGCUCAAUUCGAUGCAACGCGAAGAACCUUACCUGGCCUUGACAUGUACGUAGUAGAAGGGUGAAAGCCUGACGAGGUAGCAAUACCAGCGUACACAGGUGCUGCAUGGCUGUCGU